CAAUAGCGUAUAUUUAAGUUGUUGCAGUUAAAAAGCUCGUAGUUGGAUUUCGGAUGGGACUUGCCGGUCCGUCGUUUCGAUGUGCACUGGCCAGUCCUAUCUUGUUGUCGGGGACUAGCUCCUGGGCUUCACUGUCCGGGACUAGGAGCUUACGAGGUUACUUUGAGUAAAUUAGAGUGUUCAAAGCAAGCCUACGCUCUGAAUACAUUAGCAUGGAAUAACACGAUAGGACUCUGGCUUAUCUUGUUGGUCUGUGAGACCAGAGUAAUGAUUAAGAGGGACAGUCGGGGGCAUUCGUAUUUCAUUGUCAGAGGUGAAAUUCUUGGAUUUAUGAAAGACGAACUUCUGCGAAAGCAUUUGUCAAGGAUGUUUUCAUUAA
rnacentral:rRNA from 1 species